rnacentral:rRNA from 1 species
AGUGAACGCUGGCGGUAGGCCUAACACAUGCAAGUCGAACGGCAGCACAGUAAGAGCUUGCUCUUACGGGUGGCGAGUGGCGGACGGGUGAGGAAUAUAUCUGAAUCUACUUUUUCGUGGGGGAUAACGUAGGGAAACUUACGCUAAUACCGCAUACGACCUACGGGUGAAAGCAGGGGAUCUUCGGACCUUGCGCGAUUGAAUGAGCCGAUGUCGGAUUAGCUAGUUGGCGGGGUAAAGGCCCACCAAGGCGACGAUCCGUAGCUGGUCUGAGAGGAUGAUCAGCCACACUGGAACUGAGACACGGUCCAGACUCCUACGGGAGGCAGCAGUGGGGAAUAUUGGACAAUGGGCGCAAGCCUGAUCCAGCCAUACCGCGUGGGUGAAGAAGGCCUUCGGGUUGUAAAGCCCUUUUGUUGGGAAAGAAAAGCAGCAGGUUAAUACCCCGCUGUUCUGACGGUACCCAAAGAAUAAGCACCGGCUAACUUCGUG